CUACGACCAUAUCACGUCGAAACAUCUGUUCUCGUACGAUCAGAACAGUUAAGCAAUGUCGAGUUUUGUCAGUACCUAGAUGGGUGACCGCUUGGGAAAUUGG